rnacentral:rRNA from 1 species
GACGAACGCUGGCGGCGUGCCUAAUACAUGCAAGUUGAGCGCUGAAGGUUGGUACUUGUACCAACUGGAUGAGCAGCGAACGGGUGAGUAACGCGUGGGGAAUCUGCCUUUGAGCGGGGGACAACAUUUGGAAACGAAUGCUAAUACCGCAUAAAAACUUUAAACACAAGUUUUAAGUUUGAAAGAUGCAAUUGCAUCACUCAAAGAUGAUCCCGCGUUGUAUUAGCUAGUUGGUGAGGUAAAGGCUCACCAAGGCGAUGAUACAUAGCCGACCUGAGAGGGUGAUCGGCCACAUUGGGACUGAGACACGGCCCAAACUCCUACGGGAGGCAGCAGUAGGGAAUCUUCGGCAAUGGACGAAAGUCUGACCGAGCAACGCCGCGUGAGUGAAGAAGGGUUUCGGAUCGUAAAACUCUGUUGGUAGAGAAGAACGUUGGUGAGAGUGGAAAGCUCAUUAAGUGACGGUAACUACCCAGAAAGGGACGGCUAACUACGUG